UGGGGAAUUUUGGACAAUGGGGGAAACCCUGAUCCAGCCAUCCCGCGUGUGCGAUGAAGGCCUUCGGGUUGUAAAGCACUUUUGGCAGGAAAGAAACGUCAUGGGUUAAUACCCCGUGAAACUGACGGUACCUGCAGAAUAAGCACCGGCUAACUACGUGCCAGCAGCCGCGGUAAUACGUAGGGUGCAAGCGUUAAUCGGAAUUACUGGGCGUAAAGCGUGCGCAGGCGGUUCGGAAAGAAAGAUGUGAAAUCCCAGAGCUCAACUUUGGAACUGCAUUUUGAACUACCGGGCUAGAGUGUGUCAGAGGGAGGUGGAAUUCCGCGUGUAGCAGUGAAAUGCGUAGAUAUGCGGAGGAACACCGAUAGCGAAGGCAGCCUCCUGGGAUAACACUGACGCUCAUGCACGAAGGCGUGGGGAGCAAACAGG
rnacentral:rRNA from 1 species